GGAGUCUAGCAUGUGCGCGAGUCAUUGGGAUAUAACUAAACCUAAAGGCAAAAUGAAAGUAAAAGUUAAUUUAGAUUAACUUAGGGAAGAUGUGCAGUUAUUGCGAUUGCUGCACCGCAUUCCCGGGGCGUCUCAUUCUUAUUGCAAGAAGAGGCGCACCAAGAGCGUACACGCUGGGACCCGAAAGAUGGUGAACUAUGCCUGGUCAGGACGAAGUCAGGGGAAACCCUGAUGGAGGUCCGUAGCGAUUCUGACGUGCAAAUCGAUCGUCGGAACUGGGUAUAGGGGCGAAAGACUAAUCGAACCAUCUAGUAGCUGGUUCCCUCCGAAGUUUCCCUCAGGAUAGCUGGCGCUCAUUGCGCACGAGUUUCAUCCGGUAAAGCGAAUGAUUAGAGGCAUUGGGGUCGAAACGGCCUCAACCUAUUCUCAAACUUUAAAUGGGUGAGAUCUUCGGCUUGCUUGAACGUGAAGCCGUAAGACUCGAAUCAGAGUGCCAAGUGGGCCAUUUUUGGUAAGCAGAACUGGCGCUGUGGGAUGAACCAAACGCAGAGUUAAAGCGCCUAAAUCGACGCUUAUGGGAUACCAUGAAAGGCGUUGGUAACUUAAGACAUCAGGACGGUGGCCAUGGAAGUC
rnacentral:rRNA from 1 species